rnacentral:lncRNA from 1 species
AGUGAUCAACUAAUGGGAUAUGUGUCCCCUCCAAAAAAAAAAUAAUAAUAAUACUUUCGAGUGAGAAAGCAUUAAUCUCCUACGUCAACUCGAGUUCCACCUUGUUUUCCUGUCGCAGGAGUCGGUGCAACAAUUCACGUCUAGCAUGGGAUCAUUCAUUGAUUAUCUACUCAAAGGUGUCCAUAUAUAACUUAAUUUUAGACCAUUAUAUAUGUUUACUAUAUAUGGUGUUGUGUUCUCAUGCAUGUACGUCUCUCGAGUACUAUGCACAAACAUGUUAGUUAGCUGUUAUAUAUGCACCAGAUAAGCUCCAUAAAUGAAGUGCAAUAUAACAUGAGUUUUUUUGCCCUAUCUAUUUCAAUGUAGAAGAAGAGUGAAACACUGAUUUUAUAUUAUUUAAUUUAAUAUAAUCCAUUAUUAUAUAAUAAGUAGAGUACAAACAAACUAUACAAAGUCUUGACCUAGGAGCAAGCAGGCCUUGUGGUAGCAUUAAAUGAACAAGUGCGAUGGUUGUACCUUCCGGAAAUUGUUAACUCAAGUACAGACUGGAUCCCAUCAUACAAGAGGACCCAUCCCAAAGUAUUUGAGCAUCAGUUUUGAUGCACGAGUGUCAUUCCAUUUCAUGUAUGGAUAAACCUAAAUAAAUUAACAACUUGUC